CCUUAGUACGGCGAGUGAGCGGCAAAAGCUCAAAUUUGAAAUCUGGUACCUUCGGUGCCCGAGUUGUAAUUUGGAGAGGGCAACUUUGGGGCCGUUCCUUGUCUAUGUUCCUUGGAACAGGACGUCAUAGAGGGUGAGAAUCCCGUGUGGCGAGGAGUGCGGUUCUUUGUAAAGUGCCUUCGAAGAGUCGAGUUGUUUGGGAAUGCAGCUCUAAGUGGGUGGUAAAUUCCAUCUAAAGCUAAAUAUUGGCGAGAGACCGAUAGCGAACAAGUACAGUGAUGGAAAGAUGAAAAGAACUUUGAAAAGAGAGUGAAAAAGUACGUGAAAUUGUUGAAAGGGAAGGGCAUUUGAUCAGACAUGGUGUUUUGUGCCCUCUGCUCCUUGUGGGUAGGGGAAUCUCGCAUUUCACUGGGCCAGCAUCAGUUUUGGUGGCAGGAUAAAUCCAUAGGAAUGUAGCUUGCCUCGGUAAGUAUUAUAGCCUGUGGGAAUACUGCCAGCUGGGACUGAGGACUGCGACGUAAGUCAAGGAUGCUGGCAUAAUGGUUAUAUGCCGCCCGUCU
rnacentral:rRNA from 1 species